AGAUUGAACGCUGGCGGCAUGCUUUACACAUGCAAGUCGAGCGGCAGCGCGGGGGCAACCCUGGCGGCGAGCGGCGAACGGGUGAGUAAUACAUCGGAACGUGUCCAAUAGUGGGGGAUAACCAGUCGAAAGAUUGGCUAAUACCGCAUACGAUCUACGGAUGAAAGCGGGGGAUCGCAAGACCUCGCGCUUUUGGAGCGGCCGAUGUCCGAUUAGCUAGUUGGCGGGGUAACGGCCCACCAAGGCGACGAUCGGUAGCUGGUCUGAGAGGAUGAUCAGCCACACUGGAACUGAGACACGGUCCAGACUCCUACGGGAGGCAGCAGUGGGGAAUUUUGGACAAUGGGCGCAAGCCUGAUCCAGCCAUGCCGCGUGAGUGAAGAAUGCCUUCGGUUGUAAAGCUCUUUCGACGGGACGAAACGGUUCGUGUUAACACCGCGGACUAAUGACGGUACUCGGAGAAGAAGCACCGGCUAACUACGUGCCAGCAGCCGCGGUAAC
rnacentral:rRNA from 1 species